GCCCCCGUAGCAUGAAGGUCGUGCAGUUGCCUUGUAAGCAUCAGGUCGUGGUUCGAUUCCGCGCGGGGGCACCA
rnacentral:tRNA from 1 species